rnacentral:lncRNA from 1 species
AGAAAAGGAAAUAAAGCUAUAAAAAAUGAUCAACCGCCACGAAGUAAACUCCAGGCGAGACUAAAUGUAAAAAAAUCUGUAAAGACUCUCAACCGCCAUGAAGUAAACUCCAGGCGGGACUAAAUGUAAAUAAAGCAGUAAAAGGCCACGAAGCAAACUCCAGGCCUGACAAAAAUGUAAAUAUAUAUACAUAUAUAUAAAAGCGAUAAAUUCA